UCAGGAACGUUCACAAAAUGGCCGUGGAUGUCAAGAAAUUGAUGAAAUGCGACGUAUGUGGCACUUCCCUGCCUACAAUGGAGAAGUAUUCGGUGCACCAGAUCGCUGCGCACAACUUCGAGGCUGAUUACGUGCACCCGGUGUUCCGGAACAAUAAGGAAUUUCAUGAAUGGAAAGCAAAAGAAUAGGGUAGCCAAAACUGCUGGUUCAUUUUGCCCAGGGACCCCAAAAAGCUGGCCAGUGGAGAAACAAGGAUCCACUAUUACUGUAAUAGAUCAGGCGAGGCAAGGAAAAAGGAAGGUCAUAGUGACCGUCGGGAGAAAAGUCAGGGGAGCUGUAGGUCUGGUAAGAUAUGUCUUUCAUUUAUUACCGUCACAAUUACCGUCCGACACCUGAAGGCACCACCAUAAAAGUCAGGUAUCAAAGAAACCAUUACGGUCAUAAACCAGAAAUUCAGCACUUGAGAAUGAGUGACAAGGAAAAGGCCAGCGUAGCAGAGAACCUAGAAAGGGGUAUGCCCAUGAAAACCAUUCUAAAGCGAGUAAGAACAUCUGUGGCAUCCAAGCUGAGGCCCGUGCACUUGGCAGAGUGCUCAACCCUGCAUAACAUGAAACAGCAGUUUAACAUUGCUGCUCCUGAACAUUGUCACACUAAUGACGCUAUCAGUGUAGACAUGUGGGUGCUUGUGAUGAAAGAAAAAGGUGAAACACUUGUCCGCCUGUACAAGGCACAAGGUGCAGUGGACCCAAGUGGUACAUUUCCUUCAGCAGAC